rnacentral:rRNA from 1 species
CGCGUAGGGAACCUGGCCCUUACAGGGGGAUAACAGAUGGAAACAACUGCUAAUACCGCAUAAGCGCCCAGCCUCGCAUGAGGCAGAGUGAAAAACUAAGGUGGUAAGGGAUGGCCCUGCGUCCGAUUAGCUAGUUGGUAUGGUAACGGCAUACCAAGGCGACGAUCGGUAGCCGGCCUGAGAGGGUGGACGGCCACAUUGGGACUGAGACACGGCCCAAACUCCUACGGGAGGCAGCAGUGGGGGAUAUUGCACAAUGGGGGAAACCCUGAUGCAGCGACACCGCGUGGGUGAAGAAGCGCUUCGGCGUGUAAAGCCCUAUCAGUGGGGAAGAAAAAGGACGGUACCCAAAGAAGAAGCACCGGCUAAAUACGUGCCAGCAGCCGCGGUAAUACGUAUGGUGCAAGCGUUAUCCGGAAUGACUGGGUGUAAAGGGAGCGUAGACGGUUGUACAAGUCUGAUGUGAAAGCCCACGGCUCAACUGUGGGAGUGCAUUGGAAACUGUAGAACUAGAGUAUCGGAGAGGCAAGUGGAAUUCCUAGUGUAGCGGUGAAAUGCGUAGAUAUUACGAGGAACACCAGUGGCGAAGGCGGCUUGCUGGACUAAAACUGACGUUGAGGCUCGAA